GGUUUGUGGCUCAGAGGUAGAGCGCUUGCCUAGCAUGUGUGAGGUACUGAGUUCAAUCCUCAGCACCA
rnacentral:tRNA from 1 species